AUGUGAACUUCCUCCAUUCUGCCCCGGCGUGGACAAACAAGCUACUUUGGCCUUGCUGUGGACUCGGAAUCUGAUUGACUUCAACACAACUAGAUGCUAAGAGUGUAAGCUGGAACACCCCUGCCCUGUCCCAUGCCUGUCCCUUUGUCAUUCUGCCAUUAAGCUGGUUCUCAGCCUAGCUUCCUUCCCAGGAUGAUUUAUUCUGAUUUCUCUCAUUCAAUAAAUGUAAAUACAUGUGUGA